AGGAAGGAUAUUCAAUCAGAAAAAUAUUGAAAGUUCAAAGUUUGAAGAGGCUUUAGUAAAUUAAAUCAAUAUUUGCUUAAAUGAUCAUAUAUACAUGCAUAAAAACAUUAUUAAAAAUCCAUUUAUUCAUUCGUUGGUAGUUUCCAGGGUAUUUGAAAGUAGGUUCUUAUUUAUUUGCACUCCAGAUGGCUUUAUUUCAUUUGUUAAUAAUGUGGGCUUAGGCAGAAUCACUCCAACCCAAAUUAAUGUACUCUCGGGCGUAAUAAAAAAAAGUAAAAUCUGGAUGUGCUGUAUUAACUGACAAAGGUAAAUU